rnacentral:tRNA from 1 species
GUUGUAGUAGUUUAAUAAAACAUUAGUCUGUGACACUAAAAACGGAACCACGCCCUACAAC